rnacentral:rRNA from 1 species
AUGAGUGCCCUAUGCUGGAACUGUUGUGGGGCGGGCAACCCCUUGAUGGUUUGCGAGCUUCGUGAUAUGGCGAAGCAAUUUGUCCCCUCCAUUCUUUGUAUUCUUGAAACUCAAGUAGAGAGAACAAGAGUGGAGAGUUUAGCUGGUAGUUUAGGUUUUAAUAAUAGUUUUGCUGUAAGCAGCUCCGGGAGGAGUGGUGGUCUCGGAAUCUUUUGGAAUGAUGAAAUAAAGGUGGAAGUUAAUGGUUACUCUCAAUAUCAUAUUGAUGUUCUAGUCGAUGAUCUUAUGGACACACGAAUACGCUUGAUGUUCGUGUAUGGAGAAGCUGAAGUACCUGAAAGAUACAAGACCUGGGAUAUGCUCAGAGGAAUAGCUGGAACUAAUGGCCUUCCAUGGGCUGUUAUGGGAGAUUUUAACGAAGUGUUACAUGCGCAUGAACACGAUGGAGUGGGUAAUCGCAGCCAAGCGCAGGUGGAUGCCUUCAGAGAUGCUCUUGACACAUGUGGUUUAGUUGAUAUUGCAUAUACGGGCACAACAUGGACGUUUGAAAAGAAAGUGACAAGAGGCACCUUCACCAGGGUACGUUUGGACUGUUGUCUGGUGAAUCCAGGGUGGUAUUUUGUCUUCUUGUUGUCGGAAUUAAACCACAGAACAACAACUAUGUCGGAUCAUGUGCCAAUUGAGUUGAGAAUAAACGAUGUGCAUGGCCCAUGCAAUAGGGGCCCAUGGGGAUUUAAAUACGAAUUGACAUGGGAGCGAGACCCGUUGCUUUUUGAGCUAGUGGGAUCUUGA